rnacentral:sRNA from 1 species
UCGUGCACAUCGCCGAAUUCUGCCGGUGCUCGGGGUUCCUGAAGAGAAAUCGCUUGGCAGAAGCGGGGGAACCAUUUUCGGUCCUGGGGUCCGGGACCUAGGGGUUAAGUCACCCGGAACGCAUGCGUCCGGGGCGGCCGGGUGUCUCCCACCCGCAUCCGACAGCUCACCUCGUAGGCAAAGGGAGGAACA